UGCCUACGGGAGGCUGCAGUGGGGAAUAUUGCACAAUGGGCGCAAGCCUGAUGCAGCGACGCCGCGUGAGGGAUGAAGGCCUUCGGGUUGUAAACCUCUUUCGUCAGGGAAGAAGCGUGAGUGACGGUACCUGAAGAAGAAGCACCGGCUAACUACGUGCCAGCAGCCGCGGUAAUACGUAGGGUGCGAGCGUUGUCCGGAAUUAUUGGGCGUAAAGAGCUUGUAGGCGGUUUGUCGCGUCUGCCGUGAAAACCUAGGGCUGAACUCUGGGCGUGCGGUGGGUACGGGCAGGCGAGAGUGUGGUAGGGGAGACUGGAAUUCCUGGUGUAGCGGUGAAAUGCGCAGAUAUCAGGAGGAACACCGAUGGCGAAGGCAGGUCUCUGGGCCAUAACUGACGCUGAGAAGCGAAAGCAUGGGGAGCGAACAGGAUUAGAUACCCGUGUAGUC
rnacentral:rRNA from 1 species